GGUAAUCCAUAAUCUAACAACACAUAUCAGUAAUUAUGCACAACUUUGUGACAUAUAAAUAUAUAAAUCAUUUGAUUGUUUCUACUAACCUUGCUAAACUUACUCUUAACUUACUUGUAUUCCCCUUUGAAUACCCUCCUUAAGUGUCACCCUUUUGGUGCCUUGCCUUAAAGUGUAUGAAAUACAAUAGGGUUUCCAUCAAUAUAUAGUUACAUAAUAUAAAAGAAGGCAUAAAAGCAUUUUAUAUUAGGCUGCAAGAAGUUUGGCGGUCGAACCCACAUUCGGCAGCCAAAGUUCCCAUGCAUUGGAUACAAUACUAUAUAAACAACUGCUCAUUCAAACUUUAGUUGUCGAAGCUAGAUUUUACAGCCUUCAUUUACAAAUUAAGUUUUGUGCCACUUUGCUUCCUUUGAACCCAAAUCAAGCUAUUUUAUGGUCAUAACAACUGAAGUUUGCAUGAGCAGUUGUUUUGUGCCACUUUGCUUCCUUAGCACCC
rnacentral:misc_RNA from 1 species